GAAGCAACUGGAUAGAGGUGGGGGAGCAGGAGUGUGGCUCAGAUGAGGUUGGAGAGAUCUCUGUGUCUCGGGGGGCUAUGGCAGGGGGUGAGCGGAGCAAUCAAGUACUAGAGUGCAGAUGCUCUGCACAGGUUAAGCUAGUUUUGAUGAUUCUGUGGAGGACUGGGCCAUAUAUGCUGAGCACCUAGAGCAAUAUUUUGUACUCCAUGAUACUCCAGAGGAAAAGAAGGUGCCAGCAUUUUAAAACUACCUGGAGUCAAACAUAUCGCUUGCUUCACGGUUUGACAUAUCCAGAUAAGCCAUGCUCUAAGUCCUUUGCUGAAGUGGUGAAGUUGCUACAGGACCAUUUUUUAUCUAAGUCCUUGGAGAUUGCUGAACACUUUUGAUUUCACAAAAGGAGUCAACAUGGUUGGAGAAACCAUGGUGGCUUAUGCUUCUGCAUUACAGAGACUAGCAGAAUCCUGUAACUUUGGAGACACCUUGCAAAUGGCUCUGUGAGAGCAGCUGGUUUGUGGUCUCAGAGAUGGAAGCAUUCAGAAAUGCCUUCUCACAUCAUUGGACCUUACCUUUAAAAAAGCCUUAGAACUAGCCUCAUCCAUGGAAGCAGCUACCUGUGAGUCACAGGAGUUGCAAGUAUGAGUAUGAGUGAGCCUCACAACCAUCCCCUAUAUUGCACUCUGAGUCAUAAGGGCAAAACAGAACCCAAGAGGAAAUGUGGGUGUUGUGGCAAGCUGGGACAUAAGGCUGUUGACUGCCGCCUCCCAAAUGUGACAUGCUGGCAGUGUGGGGAAAAAGGGGCAUGUACAAUCACUGUGUCGGUCUGCCACAUCACUUAGGAGCAAUAGUAAGGCCCCACACCAUUCCAGCAACAGUGAUGUACAGCAGUGUUGGAGCAGCUAUUGCAGCCUACAGGUACUAGAGGGCAAUGAUGACAGCAGAGAAGAAGAGUUAGCUGCUUUAAGUAUUACGUGUGUACAUUCUGCCUCUUUUCAAAAUGAGAAUACAGAGCCCAUAUGGAUUACCUCCCCCCUUCCCCCCCCCAAAAAAAGAGGGCAAGGCACUUUGGAUGGAACUAGACACUGGCUUGGCUGUAUCUGUCAUUCCUCCAGAAAGAAUAUGAAAAGAAAUUCAACAAAGUACACAUGUGUUCAACAGCCAUCAAACUAAAGACAUACAUGGGACAAAAACUAACCCCCCUUGGAGUGUGUUCGGUGAAUGCUGUAGCGAAAUAACUUGAAAGACUUGAAACCAUGGGCAUAUUGCCUAAGGUUGAUUGGAGUGAGUGGGCUACACGGAUUGCUUCCAUCAUCAUACAGAAUGGCUCAGUAUGGAUUUGUGGUGACUUCAAAAUGACCAUCAAUCCUAUGUUGAGACUUGAACAUUAUUCCUUGCCUCAUAUUGGAGAUAUAUUCUCCGGUGGAUGGAAAUUUAGUAAACCCAAUCUAGCACAGGAUUAUCCACAAAUGGAAGUGGAAGAAGCACAUAGGAAAUUUUUGACCAUCAACACGGAAAGACGACUGUUCCAGUACAAUCGCCUGGUAUUUGGAAUAGCAUGAAAACAGAAUCCUGAAAACAGAAGAGCUGGAUUAUGCCAGGAGUUCAAACUGGGCAAUUGUUUUACUUUCCUUCUUCCCAAAGCGGAUUGGAUUCGUUGAGUAUUGGACUUUUUAAAGACAAAAGGGAGUGGGAAAGGCAUGUGUGAGAACUGCUAAGUUAAAUGUUUCUGUUAAUGAAUAUUUGCAUACAUAAAAUAUUUUGAAUAUUUUAUUUUGAAUUCAUAUAAAAUAUAUGAAUAUUUUGCAUAAAUAAAAUACAUUUAUCACUUGUUUUACCUUUAA